CUAGCACCUCCCCAAUUUUGCUCUAGGCGAUGGAGGAAAUCGUUCUGGGUUUCGGCGGUCUGGGAGCUGGGCAUCGAUCUAUAAUAUUUUCAACCCUGACAUAUCUCUUCUCUCCUCCAAUCUGUCCCUCUCUCUCCCCCUUCGAUCGGUGAAAACUCGGAAAGGAAGCAAGAUUGGGGAACAAAGAAAAAAUCAAACUCUGUAAUUAGGGUUUUAGAGAGACAUAGUAAUAUGGACCAUGGCCUUCGUCCCAGACAGAGGGAGUUCUUCAUUGGCUUCACAAAGGGCCAGUUGCAGCUCUGCUGAUCUCCAAAAGCCAGCUGAACUGGAUGGGAAGGCAUGUGCAGCUGUUAGACAGCCUGAUCUGAUGGCUCUCUUUAAGUCCAUGUUUAGUGAGG